UCCAAUGAAAUCUAAAAGGUUGAUUAAGUAUGCAUUUCAUUAGAGAAAUCCAAUAACUUCCACUGGAAUUCUUUGUGCUUCGUGCUAGUAUGCUUUUACUUUGUUACGGAUUGUUACGCCAUGCUAAGUUUCGUUAUUUUUGCCAUGAGUAUUUGAAUAACGUUAAAAUUAUCGCCCCUAAUGUUGUUCAAAACUCAAGGUAAAUAAUAAUUAAGGAUGGUAAGUAAGUAUUCGAAUAACUUUUAAGCAAAUUGGUGUUGAUUGUGGAUUUUUAAUUUAUGCAUUUUAGUUUUACGGAAAUGGUUAAGUCGCUUCAACAACCGUGAAAAGCCUGUGUGUUUAGAACUCAUAAGAAAGCUUAAAAUGGUUCCUUAACUCAUGGACAGCAGCAGACACUUUGAAACAACCAGAAGCAAAAAGUGCAUCGGCCGACAAAAGCAUCACAUAUUCAAUUGUGAAACCUCUCGCAAACUUCGUAAUGGACGAGGGCAAGCCGGAAUAUCCGCUCAUCGAGGACAAAUACAACAAAGGGGGCUGACCCAUGCCUAACGGUAUCAGAACUCGGUCAAAGGAAAUGUUAACCGCACAUGACGCCUGCUACUGGCCUGGGUUUUUUUUUUGUUUGCGAACAGUACGACGAGGCGCUCCGAAAUUUCAUCCUCCCCCAGCAAGACACUUUUGGAAAAGACACACCACGUCCCUCGCAGAAUGCGGUUGUUAAGUCGUACGACAUCAAAGUUCUGGGGAAGUGAACACCAUCACCUUCCAUGAUCAAGCAAACUGAACAGGAAAACUGAACGGAAAACGGAACUGAAAAGUUGCAUCGAGAGGCCGGCGGAACUCGGGAUUUUAUACCUACCGGGUCAGAACAACCAGAAU